rnacentral:lncRNA from 1 species
AAAAGGUGAAAAUAAAAACAUAGACAGAAAUGAGAUUUUCUGGAAAUCUUUAUAUAACGACUUUGACGAAAUAACUGAUACAAAUAAAAAACAUUUGCAUCAUAUAGAAAAGAGUUUACAUAGCUUUUGCAAAGGUAUAAAAUCAGCAGAUAAUUUGAGUUUUGGUAUAAAUAGAGAUGGAUAUGAUAAAUCACGUUUAAGAAGUGGAAAUAUGAACGAUGAAAUAAAAGAAGUAAAUAAAUAUAUUAAUAAUAGUAAUACAGAUAUAAAUGGAGGUAAAUAUAUGAAUAUGGACUUAUAUCAUAGAAUAUUGGACAUAAAUAAAAACGAAAAUAAUAACAGAAGUGUGAGUAAUAUUAGUAGAAAUAAUAACAUGGAUAAUGUAUCACAAUAUGAUAGAAAUAUAAAUUUUUUAAAUAAAUCAGAUUGUUUAUAUUUAAAAAAAAAUAAUAAUUUAAAUGAAUUUGUAAAAAAUAAGGAUAGUGAUAGUGUAUAUUUAAAAAAAACACUUGAACGAAAUUGUGAUAAAUUAUUAAAUACAAAAAUUAUAAAAACUUCGGGAGAUAUAAAAUCGUCUUUAAUACAUUCUAAUUGUUCAUCAAAAAAUGGUAACAAAGAAAAUAUUAAUUUCGAUACCAAGUUAAAUUGGAAACGUAUUGAUAAUUUGAUACAUUCAAAGAUGGAUAACUAUAGUUUAUAUGAUAAAAAAAGUAUACUACAUAAUAAUAUUGAUGAUAGUAAUAAAAAAUGGUUUGAUAGUAGUAAUAAAAAAGUGUAUGAAAAUAAUAUGAACAGAAGCUAUAUUGUUCAUAAUAAUAAUAAAAUUAAUAAUAAUUUGUAUAAUAGUCAAAAUGUCAAAAGUUGGUGCUAUGAUAAUUUAAAAAAUAUAAAGAAAAAAAAUGGGUUAACAAGUAAAAGGGAUGUGGAUGGAGAUGUGGAUGGAGAUGUGGAUGUGGAUGUGGAUGUGGAUGUGGAUGGAGAUGGAAAUGUGGAUGAAGAUGGAGAUGAAUAUAGAUCGUUAGUUUAUACGAAAGAAUAUCUUGAUUAUAUAAAAAUGGGAAUAAGAAAAAAAGAAAAAAACAAAACAGUUAAUGAUCCAUUGAAAUUAAGAAACAAUUUAAACACAAAUUUAUUUUUUCAAAACAUUAAUAAGUAUAAAAAUAUAGAUGUAAAAUCAGAAAAUAAACAUUUGUACAAUAAUGAUGAAGAUAGUAACGACAUAACUAUAAAAUCACCUACAAGUGAUAUUGUUAAACAAACAAAUCUAAACUCAAUCGAAAGGUUAGAUAAGUUGUUACAAAAUAAAUACAAAUAUGUAAAUAGUUCUAGUGAUCCAAAUGAAAAACAAAACAUAUAUUUAAAUAUGAAUAAAUAUAAUAAUUAUUUGGAUAAAUUAAAAAAAGAAGAAGAAAUAAGUGUUUGUGACGUGGAAAGUAUUCACAAUGGAACUAGCCAAUGUGGAAGUAUAAAAAGUCAUAUAAAUCGCGAUAAUAAUAAAAACGAUAAUUAUGCUGAUAUUUUAUCAAAUAUUUCAUCAGCAAGAAGCAUAGAUGAUAGUUCAUAUAAAAAAUUAAUAAAUAAAUCGAAAAUGUUAAAUGAAAUAACACACAAAUGUUUGAAUUCUUAUUCAGACUUAAGUAAAUAUACCACAAGGAAUUUAUAUUUAAAUAAAAAUUUCUCUUAUAGAAGUGAGGAUAAUGAAAACAGUGUCACUAGUGUUAAUAGUAGUAACAUAAAAGAGGAAAACUUAUAUGAUUUGUAUCGUAGCAAUAAUAAUGACAAUAGUAACAGUACUAGUAAUAAUAUAAAAACUUAUACCGUUAAAAAUCCUAAUUAUAACAAACACAAUGUUUUUAAUGAGAGUUUUGGAGAUUUUGAUAAAAGUAUAAAUAAAGAGUUUAUAAAACCAAAUAUGGACUAUUCAUCUAAUAACGAGUGUAAGCAAUUGAUGGAACAUAUUGGAAGGAGAUUUAUUGAUGGUGAGGAGAAUGACAAUAUUCUUAAUAAUUCUACAAGUAUAGGAAAAAGCGAAAAAAAGGGAAGUAUCGAAAACGAGGGAAGCAAAGAAAACGACGAAAAUAACGAAAAUGACGAAAAUGACGAAAAUGACGAAAAUGACGAAAAUGACNNNNNNNNNNACGAAAAUGACGAAAAUGACGAAAAUGACGAAAAUGACGAAAAUGACAAAAAUAACGAAAAUAACGAAAAUGACGAAAAUAACGAAAAUAACGAAAAUAACGAAAAUGACGAAAAUAACGAAAAUAACGAAAAUAACGAAAAUAACGAAAAUGACAAAAAUAACG